rnacentral:rRNA from 1 species
CCUACGGGACGCAGCAGUGGGGGAUAUUGCACAAUGGGGGGAACCCUGAUGCAGCGACGCCGCGUGGGUGAAGGAGUAUUUCGGUAUGUAAAGCCCUAUCGGCAGGGAAGAAGCAAGACGGUACCUGACUAAGAAGCCCCGGCUAACUACGUGCCAGCAGCCGCGGUAAUACGUAGGGGGCGAGCGUUAUCCGGAUUCACUGGGUGUAAAGGGAGCGUAGACGGUGAUGCAAGUCUGGAGUGAAAGGCGGGGGCCCAACCCCCGGACUGCUCUGGGAACUGUAUGACUUGAGUGCAGGAGAGGUA